CUACAAGAUAUAAAUCCAUUAAAACAAGGAUUGAAAC
rnacentral:other from 1 species